UGGGGAAUUUUGGACAAUGGGCGAAAGCCUGAUCCAGCAAUGCCGCGUGUGUGAAGAAGGCCUUCGGGUUGUAAAGCACUUUUGUCCGGAAAGAAAUCCUUGGCUCUAAUACAGUCGGGGGAUGACGGUACCGGAAGAAUAAGCACCGGCUAACUACGUGCCAGCAGCCGCGGUAAUACGUAGGGUGCAAGCGUUAAUCGGAAUUACUGGGCGUAAAGCGUGCGCAGGCGGUUUGCUAAGACCGAUGUGAAGUCCCCGGGCUCAACCUGGGGAACUGCAUUGGUGACUGGCAGGCUAGAGUAUGGCAGAGGGGGGUAGAAUUCCACGUGUAGCAGUGAAAUGCGUAGAGAUGUGGAGGAAUACCGAUGGCGAAGGCAGCCCCCUGGGCCAAUACUGACGCUCAUGCACGAAAGCGUGGGGAGCAAAACAGGAUUAGAUACCCUGGUAGUCCACGCCCUAAAACGAUGUCAACUAGUUGUUGGGGAUUCAUUUCCUUAGUAACGUAGCUAACGCGUGAAGUUGACCGCCUGGGGAGUACGGUCGCAAGAUUAAAACUCAAAGGAAUUGACGGGGUCAUAGCUGUUUCCU
rnacentral:rRNA from 1 species